rnacentral:rRNA from 1 species
UGAUUGCAGAAUUCCGCGAAUCAUCGAGUCUUUGAACGCAAGUUGCGCCCGAGGCUUGUCCCGAGGGCAUGCCUGCCUGAGCGUCACC